rnacentral:rRNA from 1 species
CCUACGGGUGGCAGCAGUAGGGAAUCUUCCACAAUGGGCGCAAGCCUGAUGGAGCAACGCCGCGUGAGUGAAGAAGGUCUUCGGAUCGUAAAACCCUGUUGUUGGAGAAGAAAGUGCGUGAGAGUAACUGUUCACGUUUCGACGGUAUCUAACCAGAAAGCCACGGCUAACUACGUGCCAGCAGCCGCGGUAAUACGUAGGUGGCAAGCGUUAUCCGGAUUUAUUGGGCGUAAAGGGUACGCAGGCGGUCGUGUAAGUCUGAUGUGAAAAGCUUGAGCUUAACCGGAGUAGGGCAUUGGAAACUGGGGGACUGGAGUGCAGAAGAGGAGAGUGGAACUCCAUGUGUAGCGGUGAAAUGCGUAGAUAUAUGGAAGAACACCAGUGGCGAAGGCGGCGCCCUGGUCUGUAACUGACGCUGAGGUACGAAAGCGUGGGGAGCAAAUAGGAUUAGAUAUCCCUGUAGUC